rnacentral:rRNA from 1 species
CUGGCGGCGUGCCUAAUACAUGCAAGUCGAACGAUGAAGCUCUAGCUUGCUAGAGUGGAUUAGUGGCGCACGGGUGAGUAAUGCAUAGAUAACAUGCCCUUUAGUCUAGGAUAGCCAUUGGAAACGAUGAUUAAUACUGGAUACUCCUUACGAGGGAAAGUUUUUCGCUAAAGGAUUGGUCUAUGUCCUAUCAGCUUGUUGGUGAGGUAAUGGCUCACCAAGGCUAUGACGGGUAUCCGGCCUGAGAGGGUGAACGGACACACUGGAACUGAGACACGGUCCAGACUCCUACGGGAGGCAGCAGUAGGGAAUAUUGCUCAAUGGGGGAAACCCUGAAGCAGCAACGCCGCGUGGAGGAUGAAGGUUUUCGGAUUGUAAACUCCUUUUGUUAGAGAAGAUAAUGACGGUAUCUAACGAAUAAGCACCGGCUAACUCCGUGCCAGCAGCCGCGGUAAUACGGAGGGUGCAAGCGUUACUCGGAAUCACUGGGCGUAAAGAGCGCGUAGGCGGGAUAGCAAGUCAGAUGUGAAAUCCUAUGGCUUAACCAUAGAACUGCAUUUGAAACUGUUAUUCUAGAGUAUGGGAGAGGUAGGUGGAAUUCUUGGUGUAGGGGUAAAAUCCGUAGAGAUCAAGAGGAAUACUCAUUGCGAAGGCGACCUGCUAGAACAUAACUGACGCUGAUGCGCGAAAGCGUGGGGAGCAAACAGGAUUAGAUACCCUGGUAGUCCACGCCCUAAACGAUGAAUGCUAGUUGUUGUGGAGCUUGUCUCUGCAGUAAUGCAGCUAACGCAUUAAGCAUUCCGCCUGGGGAGUACGGUCGCAAGAUUAAAACUCAAAGGAAUAGACGGGGACCCGCACAAGCGGUGGAGCAUGUGGUUUAAUUCGAAGAUACACGAAGAACCUUACCUAGGCUUGACAUUGAUAGAAUCCGCUAGAGAUAGUGGAGUGCUAGCUUGCUAGAACUUGAAAACAGGUGCUGCACGGCUGUCGUCAGCUCGUGUCGUGAGAUGUUGGGUUAAGUCCCGCAACGAGCGCAACCCUCGUCCUUAGUUGCUAACUAUUCGGUAGAGCACUCUAAGGAGACUGCCUUCGCAAGGAGGAGGAAGGUGAGGAUGACGUCAAGUCAUCAUGGCCCUUACGCCUAGGGCUACACACGUGCUACAAUGGGAAGCACAAAGAGAUGCAAUAUUGUGAAAUGGAGCAAAUCUAUAAAACUUCUCUCAGUUCGGAUUGUAGUCUGCAACUCGACUACAUGAAGCUGGAAUCGCUAGUAAUCGUAAAUCAGCUAUGUUACGGUGAAUACGUUCCCGGGUCUUG